rnacentral:rRNA from 1 species
CCUACGGGGGGCAGCAGUGGGGAAUAUUGGACAAUGGGGGGAACCCUGAUCCAGCCAUGCCGCGGGUGUGAAGAAGGCCCUCGGGUUGUAAAGCACUUUCAGUGAGGAAGAACGCCUGGUGGUUAAUACCCAUCAGGAAAGACAUCACUCACAGAAGAAGCACCGGCUAACUCCGUGCCAGCAGCCGCGGUAAUACGGAGGGUGCGAGCGUUAAUCGGAAUUACUGGGCGUAAAGCGCGCGUAGGUGGCUUGAUAAGCCGGUUGUGAAAGCCCCGGGCUCAACCUGGGAACGGCAUCCGGAACUGUCAAGCUAGAGUGCAGGAGAGGAAGGUAGAAUUCCCGGUGUAGCGGUGAAAUGCGUAGAGAUCGGGAGGAAUACCAGUGGCGAAGGCGGCCUUCUGGACUGACACUGACACUGAGGUGCGAAAGCGUGGGUAGCAAACAGGAUUAGAUACCCUGGUAGUC